GGGGCAUAUUUGCAAAAAUCCCCAAAUCUUACUCUUCUUCAGUUCUUCCACAAACAAACAAACAAACUAGGGUUUUAGGGUUUUAUUACACUCUUCAAAACAGGCUUCAAUGGCGGAAUCGAUUUGCAGAGCACUCCGAGACGGUGCGUUGCAAGGAGAACUCGCACCGGCUCUAACCAUCAAGGACUCCAUUGCCUCACCUUUCGGUUUCCACGUCUUCACUCACCUCCUCACCCAGCUUUCCACCAACAUUUUGGCGGCAAAAUCCCAAUCACGUGGUCUCGUGGUUUAUAUAAUUUUGUUGUUAUUAUGAAUGUGUGGGAACUCGAACAUUGUUAUACGGAUCCUCUUGGUUGGAAGGAUGCCCUUUUGGCGUCUGGAAAUGGUGGGAGUCUCUCUAACGAAGCUUUGACUGGAGCUAGUUUGUGUAGGAAUGUGAAGGAUAUGGACAAGUUGUACUCUUCAAUUAUCGAGCUGGGGAAAGGUUAAUGAAAUCUUAAGACAUGCAUCUAUAUCAUCAGUUGCAGGCCUUUUAAGUAACCUUCGAAGCAAUGGGGAAUUCUAGCCUUUUGCCCUUAAUUUUUUAAAAAUUUAGCAAUAUGCCCCUAUUUCGAAACUAUAUAGGGAUAUGUCCCUAUUUCGAUACUCGAUUACCUUAAAAUCGAGUUUCAAUGAAAUACUCAAUUCGUAGAAAAUCGAGUUAUGCCUGAUCAAACUAAAAAAAGGAAAAAAAUUGCAUGGAACUCGAGUUCCAAAACGCCGCUAUAGGGCUUAAAAACGCAACUAUAGGGCUCCCACAACCUGGUAUGGGAUGAUCACACUUAUAAAAAAAAAAUUUGCAGGAAAACGCCACUAUAGGGCUUUAAAACGUCGCUAUAGGGCUUAAAAACGCCACUAUAGCGCUCCCUGAAUAUGAGGCAAUCACGCUUAUAAAAAAAUUUGUAGGUAAAUGCCGCUAUGGGGCUUUAAAACGUCACUAUAGGGCUUAAAAACGCCACUAUAGGGCUCCCUGAAUUUGGGUCGAUCACACUUAUAAAAUUUUUUUUGCAUGGAAUUCGAUUUCCUGAAACUCGAGUUCCAUGCAAAUUAUUUUAUUUUAUUUUUUUAUUUUUAAGUUUGAUCAGGCAUAACUCGAUUUUCUACGAAUCGAGUAUUUAAUUGAAACUCGAUUUUAAGGUAAUCGAGUAUCGAAACAGGGGCACGCCCCUCUAUAGUUUGCAAACAGGGGCAUAUUGCCAAUUUUUAAAAAAAUUAAGGGUAAAAUGCCAGAAUCUCCAUGG